rnacentral:misc_RNA from 1 species
GAAAUGAGUGGUCAUUAUUAUUACCAGGAGAGUUGGAACUGGAAUUGGAGUGGGUCGGGUUGGGGUCAGGAUCAGAGUCGGAGUUGGAAGCGGAACAGGAACAAGAAGAAGAAGCAAUGCGAUCAAGGGACUCGUAGAAAUGCUCGUCUUCUUCUUCUUCUUCUUCUUCUUCAUUUUUUUUUUCCUGUGUGUGGCUUCCUCUUCUUCUUCUGCUUCUUCGUCCUUAUGGCAGUUGUGGGUGUUCCUGCUCAUCUCUGGGCGGUCAUUGUGAAACCUCUAGGGGCAUUUGGUAUCCAUUGGAAUAAAGGAAAAAAAUGGAAAUGGAAAGGAAGAGAAGAGAGAAGGCAAUGGAAAUGGUUAAAUUUGGUAGGAAGUAUUGUAGUUAUUUUGGUAAAUGGGAGUAUGGGUAUGUUGUUGGUUAUGGAGAGUGCGUUGAAGUUGCGAUCUGUGGGGGAUUGGGGAGAUCGG